AAAUUUAUUACUCAAGUAUUUAUAUUUAUCUUUGAUUUGUUAGGAUUAGAUGGUAGUUUGUUAUGAUUAUAGUUAUCCACAAAACUAGAAUUCUUGC